UUUACAUACAGAAGAGAGAUUGGAUUAUAGAAACAAACGAUUGACAAGUCUAGGCGACUCAAUUUCUGUUUGUUUGAGUGUUUGAUUUGUGGGAUUUCUUAAUUGGAGGGUGUUUCGGACUAUUAGAGAAGGUGUUGAUUAUUAGAGAAGGUGUUGACUAUUGCUGCAGAAAAUGGCGCCAUCUAAAUCUGCCCCAUUACCAAGCAAGUCCAAGGAUAAGACAUUGAAACCAAAGAAGACAAAGACAAAGUCCAAGUUAGGGGACUUUUCAUCAUCAAGAUCCUCUGAAGCAUCUAUUUCGAAGAAGAGGAAAUCUAAGAAGAAGAAGGAUGAUCAAGAGACGGGGGGAUUAAAACUUCUGAAGCGGCAUUGUGUCACAAUGUCUCGUAUUUCAAAGCGCUAAAGCUUAAGACAAAAGAAAAUAGUUCUCUUUAACAGAAAAGGGACUCCAUGUGGGAAAGUGGCAAAGGAAAUGCAAUCGUACAUCGGUGUGUUAGCUCGCAGAAAGAUACCAUUAAUAAGGAAAACAUGGAGAGAAGUGACACCCGAGGAGAAGGAGAAAAUAUGGCAACGUGUGCAGGUGCCAUUUGUGCUUGGUCCUGAAAACAGAAAAAUGGUAAUUGAAUCUGCUGCAUCAAAAUGGAGGGAGUUCAAGUCUCGACUCACUACAAAUUACAUUAUCCCUUUCUUGGAUGACCCAGAAUCCUUAAAGUAUCCUCCAGAUGAUUACAGAUUUAUUAAUGCAGAUCAUUGGACUGCAUUUGUGGCCGAACGGACAAACGAAAAG